rnacentral:lncRNA from 1 species
CUUCUCUUUGUUUUGGAAAUACUGCAUUCAAACUGAGACUUUGAUAAUUUCUGCAAAGAAUAAUGGCAAGAGGAAAGAAGCUUGCUUGCCCACAGUAACUUCCAGACAAAUGAAAACCCGGGCUGUGUCCUGAGAGUUUUAGGUAAUCCAGGCUCAUAAUUUGAUUUGAGAAGAGCUACUCCAGGCUACUGUGUAAUUAUAGAAGCAUUCGCUCGGCUGGCUCCUGUUCGCCUCGUCACGUUCUACUUCAUUGCCCUUUAUACUAAAGCCCCUGUUGAUGAGAGGGCGGAAACAAUAAUCAGUUGCGCACCAUCAGUGAUGAUCGAUGCUUCCAUGUUGCCGGGAGGGAGUUGCCACAUUGGAUGACAUCUGAUACUCCUGCAGGAAAUGUUGGGCAUCCUAUUCCAAAGUGUCCUCCAAGCCAAUAGCCAAUUCCUCUUGUCUACUCAGAAAGCAUGCUUCCUGUCAUAGUGGGUGAUAUGCCCAAUA